rnacentral:rRNA from 1 species
CCUACGGGAGGCAGCAGUAGGGAAUAUUGCUCAAUGGGGGAAACCCUGACGCAGCAACGCCGCGUGGAGGAUGAAGGUUUUCGGAUUGUAAACUCCUUUUGUUAGAGAAGAUCAUGACGUUUUCUAACGAAUAGUCACCUGCUAACUCCGUGCCAGCAGCCGCGGUAAUACUGAGGGUGCACGCGUUACUCGGAAUCACUGGGCGUAAGGAGCGCGUAGGCGGGAUAGCAAGUCAGAUGUGAAAUCCUAUGGCUUAACCAUAGAACUGCAUUUGAAACUGUUAUUCUAGAGUAUGGGAGAGGUAGGUGGAAUUCCAGGUGUAGGAGUAAAAUCCGUAGAGAUCAAGAGGAAGACGCAUGGCGAAGGCGACCAGCUAGAACAUAACUGACGCUGAUGCGCGAAAGCGUGGGGAGCAAACAGGAUUAGAUACCCUAGUAGUC